CCUUACAAAAAUCAUGGAACAAUGUAUAUCCAUCUUAUCAUCGAAUUUGCAGUUAGCGAGCUCAUGUAUACCAUACCCCUAGUGAAAGUUUCAUAAUUAGGGUCAUAAAAAGACAACAGACACCAUCCACGUUUUGAAUAAAAUUUCAUAUUAAAUGUCUUUCCUUUGAAAGCCACCAUCCAACUUUUCCAUUAUGAAUAAAGAAUUCAUAAUGCAUUUUUCUCAAAGGUCAUUGAGUCAUCCAACCCUUACAAAACUUAUGAAACAUUUGGGACAAGGGUCAUUAUGUUCAUAAUGCAAAAUCACUUAUAAUUACAGUUGCAGAAUUGAAUUUAAGGACUAAGAGUCAUCAAAGCAGACUAUAUACCCAUUCAUGCAUUAUUAUGAAUAAAAAUUCAUAAUUUUUUUAAUAGAAAAGCAGACACCGAUAGAGACAAUUGAUUGAGUAGCAAUUAAGGCAACAACUAGCUUUCGCAUUUAGGGACUAGGGUCAUUAAGUAAUUUAUCCAGCAUUUUUUGGCCAUCAAGACAUCCGAUCACUUUUUAUUGAAGCAUAAGAUUAAAAGUUUCUAUCGAAGCCCAUCAUCGUUCCCAACAGGUAUUGAUUAUAAACCGGAUGGGGCAAAUAUGUUGGAAUGAAAAUUCCAAAAACGUGCGAGACUACAUUAUUGUAACAAACAAAAAACUGUUUUUCUUAUAAUAUUGGUACCAAACAUGAUCUUGGGACAUCACACUUUUUGCACAAUUAAGCUUUUUGUUUUGUUUUUAUGAAGCAGAAGAUUGAAUGUUGUUCAUAAUGCAAAAACACUUCUAAUUGCAGUUGCNNNNNNNNNNNUGCAGAUUCGAAUUUAGGGACUAAGGGUCAUCAAAGCAUAAUAUAUUCCCAUUCAUGCAUUAUUAUGAAUAAAAUUCAUAAUUUUUUUAAUCGAAAAGCCGACACCGAUAGAGACAAUUGCUUGAGUAGCAAUUAAGGCAACAACUAGCUUUCAAAUUCAGGGACUAGGGUCAUUAAAUUCAUCCAACAUUUUACUCUGCCGUCAUUGAGGCAUCUAUGAUCCAUCCGUUACGAGAUUUAUAACAGAGUAUAUUCAUCGAUUCGAACUGUCAAAUUGAGGGUUACUAUUAGGGAUAUAUACCCCACCCUUUUUCCAACGGACAAUGAUUCAUAGUCUUAUAGGGUUUUAUACCCUUUAAAAUUGGAAACCCACCAUUGUUCCCAACAUUUAUCGAUUAUAAACAGAAGAUUCUUUUGGGACAAAUAUGUUAGAAUGAAAAUUCCAAAAACAAGUGAAACUCCCUUAUUUUGUGACAAACAAAAAACUGUCUUUUAAGAUUCUUUUGGGACAAAACAGAACACCUUUUGCAGAAUUAGGGUUCUUUUGUUUUUCUCAUAAAAUUGAGUGUCGAAACAUAAAGAACACCUUUGGUCAAUAAAGGUUUCUUUUGUUUUGUUUUUAUGAAGCAGAAGAUUGAAUGAGAAAAUGGGUAUCUAAAUGAAUCAACAUGUGGAGAGAAAGUUGAAAAAUUUACCGUAGCAAACAUAAGAGAUUAUUGGCAAAGCAUAGCAAUCUCUUGAUCCUCGAGCGACACACCCAACACCAUAAAUUCCACAAUUCGUGUUUUCAUUCUUUUCUUGUUUCUUGAAGAAUAAAGAAAGAAUGAGUUUUUUUUUUUGUUUUUCUGACCUAGAAAGAAAGAACGAGUUUUCAUAUUCUUUUCAUUUCACAAAUUAGCGUAAGACUCACAAUGCGUCG
rnacentral:lncRNA from 1 species